AGAACGAACGCUGGCGGCAGGCUUAACACAUGCAAGUCGAACGCCCCGCAAGGGGAGUGGCAGACGGGUGAGUAACGCGUGGGAACGUGCCCUUCGGUUCGGAAUAACUCAGGGAAACUUGAGCUAAUACCGGAUACGUGCGAGAGCAGAAAGAUUUAUCGCCCAGGGAUGAGCCCGCGUAGGAUUAGCUAGUUGGUGGGGUAAAGGCCUACCAAGGCGACGAUCCUUAGCUGGUCUGAGAGGAUGAUCAGCCACACUGGGACUGAGACACGGCCCAGACUCCUACGGGAGGCAGCAGUGGGGAAUAUUGGACAAUGGGGGCAACCCUGAUCCAGCAAUGCCGCGUGGGUGAUGAAGGCCUUCGGGUCGUAAAGCUCUUUCGCCAGGGAUGAUAAUGACAGUACCGGGAGAAUAAGCCCCGGCUAACUCCGUGCCAGCAGCCGCGGUAAUACGGAGGGGGCUAGCGUUGUUCGGAAUUACUGGGCGUAAAGCGCACGUAGGCGGUUACUCAAGUCAGAGGUGAAAGCCCGGGGCUCAACCCCGGAACUGCCUUUGAAACUAGGUGACUGGAAUCUUGGAGAGGCGAGUGGAAUUCCGAGUGUAGGGGUGAAAUUCGUAGAUAUUGGGAGGAACACCUGUGGCGAAAGCGGCUCACUGGACCACAACUGACGCUGAUGCACGAAAGCUAGGGGAGCAAACAGGAUUAGAUACCCUGGUAGUCCUAGCCCUAAACGAUGACUGCUUGGUGUGCGGGUACCCAAUCCCGCCGUGCCGUAGCUAACGCGUUAAGCAGUCCGCCUGGGGAGUACGGUCGCAAGGCUGAA
rnacentral:rRNA from 1 species